ACUGGAGGUCUCACUCUGACUGAGCUUCAGAGAACCGGGAACUGGAGGUCUCACUCUGACUGAUAGUCAUUUUUUUAUUGAUAUAAUUUAUUUUAUUUCUUCCUUUUCUAUCUGCGUAGGCACGUGGAAAAACAGAGGCUAAGGCCCCAUCACGUCACAUCUUUUUUCUUCUUCUACUCCUUUAAUGAAGGUGUGCUGGGUGACAGGUGCGACUUAUUCCGCUGAUUGCCAGGAGUACUUAAGCAGGAGGCUGCCAGCACUUCAAUGCGAGUGUUUUACCACAUUGAUUUUGAAAGCCUAAGCUUUGGAUCUAUGUCAUUGAGUUUUCUGGACUAUGUUUCUGA